AGCCAUGUAAUGAACACAAAGCGAACUAUUCUUUCGCCUUUUACUAAAGAAUACUGUGUGUUUGUUACAAUCAAUGGCAUACUCUAAUUUUUGGAGGGUGUUUACUCCUAAACACCC
rfam:Ipomoea nil DNA, scaffold: scaffold0268, cultivar: Tokyo-kokei standard.